rnacentral:rRNA from 1 species
AUGCUGACGAGUGGCGAACGGGUGAGUAAUACAUCGGAACGUGCCCGAUCGUGGGGGAUAACGAGGCGAAAGCUUUGCUAAUACCGCAUAAGAUCUAUGGAUGAAAGCAGGGGACCGCAAGGCCUUGCGCGAACGGAGCGGCCGAUGGCAGAUUAGGUAGUUGGUGGGGUAAAGGCUUACCAAGCCUACGAUCUGUAGCUGGUCUGAGAGGACGACCAGCCACACUGGGACUGAGACACGGCCCAGACUCCUACGGGAGGCAGCAGUGGGGAAUUUUGGACAAUGGGCGCAAGCCUGAUCCAGCCAUGCCGCGUGCAGGAUGAAGGCCUUCGGGUUGUAAACUGCUUUUGUACGGAACGAAAAGCCUUCUUCUAAUAAAGGGAGGUCAUGACGGUACCGUAAGAAUAAGCACCGGCUAACUACGUGCCAGCAGCCGCGGUAAUACGUAGGGUGCAAGCGUUAAUCGGAAUUACUGGGCGUAAAGCGUGCGCAGGCGGUGAUGUAAGACAGAUGUGAAAUCCCCGGGCUCAACCUGGGAACUGCAUUUGUGACUGCAUCGCUGGAGUACGGCAGAGGGGGAUGGAAUUCCGCGUGUAGCAGUGAAAUGCGUAGAUAUGCGGAGGAACACCGAUGGCGAAGGCAAUCCCCUGGGCCUGUACUGACGCUCAUGCACGAAAGCGUGGGGAGCAA